GAUCCUCCAUCGGCGUUACUCAUCACAGCGAAUUUACCCGUCGAACUACCGCUGAAGUAAAUAUGCUCUAGAAAACAUCACCAUAAUAUUAAUAAUGAUCACGUGCUGCCAGCUUCCAAAGGCCAUAAUACGAUUCGACGACCGAUGAACGAACCUUCUUUGAAUUCCCAUAGUACUUCGCCUUUUCUACGAUCGACGCCGAUGAACGUGCCGUCCAAUGUUGAUAUAAAUAACACCGAUUCUUCUUCGUUGAUUAGCUCAGUACCACAAUCAAUGCAUACCUGUAAUACAAUGAAAAAUACAUGACUAAGUUAUAAUUAGACUUGAAAAAAUCA